CGGAGGGGCGUAGCGUUGUUCGGAAUUACUGGGCGUAAAGCGCACGUAGGCGGACCAGAAAGUUGGGGUGGAAAUCCCGGGGCUCAACCUCGGAACUGCCUUCAAAACUAUUGGUCUGGAGUUCGAGAGAGGUGAGUGGAAUUCCGAGUGUAGAGGUGAAAUUCGUAGAUAUUCGGAGGAACACCAGUGGCGAAGGCGGCUCACUGGGCUCGAUACUGACGCUGAGGUGCGAAAGCGUGGGGAGCAAACAGGAUU
rnacentral:rRNA from 1 species